rnacentral:rRNA from 1 species
UACGAACUGUGCAAACGUUAUUCGGAAUCACUGGGCUUACAGGGUGCGUAGGCGGUCUGUUAAGUCGGGUGUGAAAGCCCCCGGCUCAACCGGGGAAUUGCGCUUCAAACUGUCGGGCUCGAGGGAGAUAGAGGUGAGCGGAACUGAUGGUGGAGCGGUGAAAUGCGUUGAUAUCAUCAGGAACACCAGAGGCGAAGGCGGCUCACUGGGUCUCUUCUGACGCUGAGGAACGAAAGCUAGGGGAGCAAACGGG